rnacentral:rRNA from 1 species
AGUGAACGCUGGCGGCAGGCCUAACACAUGCAAGUCGAACGGCAGCACAGUAAGAUCUUGCUCUUACGGGUGGCGAGUGGCGGACGGGUGAGGAAUACAUCGGAAUCUACUUUUUCGUGGGGGAUAACGUAGGGAAACUUACGCUAAUACCGCAUACGAUCUACGGGUGAAAGCAGGGGAUCUUCCGACCUUUCGCGAUUGAAUGAGCCGAUGUCGGAUUAGCUAGUUGGCGGGGUAAAGGCCCACCAAGCCGACGAUCCGUAGCUGGUCUGAGAGGAUGAUCAGCCACACUGGAACUGAGACACGGUCCAGAAUCCUACGGGAGGCAGCAGUAGGGAAUAUUGGGCAAUGGGCGAAAGCCUGACGCAGCAAUGCCGCGUGAGGGAUGAAGGUCUUCGGAUUGUAAAGCGCUUUUGUUAGGGAAGAAAAUAAGGGUAAUAAAACGUGCAAGUCUUGACGGUACCUAAACAGAAAGCAACGGCUAACUACGUG